rnacentral:rRNA from 1 species
AAGGAUGGGGCCGCGACCGAUCAGGUUGUUGGUGAGGUAAUGGCUCACCAAGCCUUUUACCGGUGCGGGCCGUGAGAGCGGGAGCCCGGAGAUGGGCACUGAGACAAGGGCCCAGGCCCUACGGGGCGCAGCAGUCGCGAAAACUUUGCAAUAAGCGAAAGCUUGACAGGGCUAUCCCGAGUGCCAUCCGCUGAGGAAGGCUUUUACCCAGUCUAGAACGCUGGGAGAAUAAGGAGAGGGCAAGUCUGGUGUCAGCCGCCGCGGUAAUACCAGCUCUCCGAGUGGUGUGGAUGUUUAUUGGGCCUAAAGCAUCCGUAGCUGGCUAGGUUAGUCCCCUGUUAAAUCCACCGAAUUAAUCGUUGGAUUGCGGGGGAUACUGCUUGGCUAGGGGACGAGAGAGGCAGACGGUAUUUCCGGGGUAGGGGUGAAAUCCUAUAAUCCCGGGAGGACCACCAGUGGCGAAGGCUGUCUGCUAGAACGCGCCCGACGGUGAGGGAUGAAAGCUGGGGGAGCGAACCGGAUUAGAUACCCGGGUAGUCCCAGCUGUAAACGAUGCAGGCUAGGUGUUUGGACGGCUACGUGCCGUUCUAGUGCCGCAGGGAAGCUGUUAAGCCUGCCGCCUGGGGAGUACGAUCGCAAGAUUGAAACUUAAAGGAAUUGGCGGGGGAGCAC